rnacentral:rRNA from 1 species
AGAGUUUGAUCCUGGCUCAGGACGAACGCUGGCGGCGUGCCUAAUACAUGCAAGUAGAACGCUGAAAUAAGAGCUUGCUCUUAUGGAUGAGUUGCGAACGGGUGAGUAACACGUGGGGAACCUACCUUCUAGCGGGGGAUAACACAUAGAAAUGUGUGCUAAUACCGCAUAAUAGUAUUUGAUGCAUAUCAGAUACUUGAAAGGCGCAAUUGCGUCACUAGAAGAUGGCCCCGCGGUGCAUUAGCUAGUUGGUGAGGUAACGGCUCACCAAGGCAAUGAUGCAUAGCCGACCUGAGAGGGUGAUCGGCCACACUGGGACUGAGACACGGCCCAGACUCCUACGGGAGGCAGCAGUAGGGAAUCUUCGGCAAUGGACGCAAGUCUGACCGAGCAACGCCGCGUGAGUGAAGAAGGUUUUCGGAUCGUAAAACUCUGUUGUAAGAGAAGAACGUUGAUGAGAGUGGAAAGUUCAUCAAGUGACGGUAUCUUACCAGAAAGCCACGGCUAACUACGUGCCAGCAGCCGCGGUAAUACGGAGGAUCCGAGCGUUAUCCGGAUUUAUUGGGUUUAAAGGGAGCGUAGGUUGACGUAUAAGUCAGCUGUGAAAGUUUACGGCUCAACCGUGAAAUUGCAGUUGAUACUGUAUGUCUUGAGUGUACAAGAGGUGGGCGGAAUUCGUGGUGUAGCGGUGAAAUGCUUAGAUAUCACGAAGAACUCCAAUUGCGAAGGCAGCUCACUGGGGUACAACUGACACUGAGGCUCGAAAGUGUGGGUAUCAAACAGGAUUAGAUACCCUGGUAGUCCACACAGUAAACGAUGAAUACUCGCUGUUUGCGAUAUACAGUAAGCGGCCAAGCGAAAGCAUUAAGUAUUCCACCUGGGGAGUACGCCGGCAACGGUGAAACUCAAAGGAAUUGACGG